GACGAACGCUGGCGGCGUGCUUAACACAUGCAAGUCGAACGGAAAGGCCCUGCUUUUGUGGGGUGCUCGAGUGGCGAACGGGUGAGUAACACGUGAGUAACCUGCCCUUGACUUUGGGAUAACUUCAGGAAACUGGGGCUAAUACCGGAUAGGAGCUCCUGCUGCAUGGUGGGGGUUGGAAAGUUUCGGCGGUUGGGGAUGGACUCGCGGCUUAUCAGCUUGUUGGUGGGGUAGUGGCUUACCAAGGUUUUGACGGGUAGCCGGCCUGAGAGGGUGACCGGCCACAUUGGAACUGAGAUACGGCCCAGACUCCUACGGGAGGCAGGAGUGGGGAAUAUUGCACAAUGGGCGGAAGCCUGAUGCAGCAACGCCGCGUGCGGGAUGACGGCCUUCGGGUUGUAAACCGCUUUCGCCUGUGACGAAGCGUGAGUGACGGUAAUGGGUAAAGAAGCACCGGCUAACUACGU
rnacentral:rRNA from 1 species